rnacentral:lncRNA from 1 species
AUUCACCUAACCUUUCAGUGCCUGGAUAACGUUUUUCAAGUGUGAUUCCUCCACCACAUUUGCGUUCUAUUCAUUUCUAGAUCUCUAGCGCCUGUCACAGUUACCUGGCCCACCGAUGGUUUUUGUUAGUAUUUGCUGAUUGAUUAGAAAUUCCCUCAUUAUGCAGCCUCUGGUGUGCUUCUGUCUACCCAGCACAGGGAUGCUCAGAAAUGGCUUAUAAAAUUACCUUUUUGUGUAUAUGCAUUUCACAUAUCCCCUCACCCCAGAGGCUUUGGUUUUCACCUAGUACCGAUCUUGAACACACGUCCUCCACAGCGCUUAUAUUUACAGUGAAUGACCCAUUUACCCAAAUUCAACAGUGUGCAUAACCUGCUUAUGCAUGAGACUUCUCCUAUUUUCUCAGAGUUUCCUGUAAAGCCCCAAAGCUGAAGAGAGCAGACAAAUUCCCCCAUAUUCUUACAAGAGUGUCAGGGAGCUGGUAGAGAUGCCCUCUAUGGCUUUCUGGGUCAUCUAUUGAUACUUUGACCGUCACCACUGCCCACCACAUCCUAACUAUCCUAUAUAAAGUGAAGACAUGACAUUUGAAGGAACAGUUCAUUGAUGUGAAGGAAUUUAGGCUUAAAGGGGAGUGCUGUACAUUGUCAUUUCCAGAUCCACUAAUGAGUUCCAAGAAAACUGUCAUAGAGUUUAGAAGUGGGUGCUUCAAGAAGGUGAGGCUGGUAUCUCACUCCCUGCCUGGAUGCUGGCUGAGCUCAGAAGCAUGGCAGCCAUUCUAGCUCUGCCAUGGGGAGUGGAGGCAGAGAAUUCCCAGAGGACUUGACUCCUUGACACUGGAACUUAGUGGGAUUCCUGAAUAUAGAGAACGAGGCAUAAUUACAACCUGGACUAUUGUGGCGGAUGAGGGUGGAUGGUGCAGCCUGCAAUGGCUGGGUUGAGAAAAGGGAUAAGAGGGCCAGCAUUUGGCAAGCAUUUUCCUUGCCACGGGAGCUGGCCAGGCUUAAGCCAUCUAGAAGGCAUCUUCCUGAGGGCCGCACAUGUGGGAGGGAACUCAACUGUGGAAAGUGCCAUGGUGCGGGGCAGGAGCUAAGAGAUGGUCCAAAGAGAGCAACCGAACAGCACACCCCCCCGCCCCCCCCCCACCAGGACCUAAACAUUAUAGCAGUUCCCACUGUGACUCUGAGGACUCACACACAUCUCACAAGAAUCCAGCAUUUGAAUGGUGGCAGCACAGAAGGGCCACCUAGUGUCAGCCAAGGGAGAAAGGUAACAGCUGGAGUGCAGUGGCAUGAACACCGCUCAUUGAAGAUUUGA